GGAGAGAGAUAGAGAGGAGGAGGAAUCAGGAGAGAGAGAUAGAGAGGAGGAGGAAUCAGGAGAGAGAGAUAGAGGAGAGGGGGAAUCAGGAGAGAGAUAUAGAGAGGAGGAGGAAUCAGGAGAGAGAGAGAUAGAGGGGAGGAGGAAUCAGGAGAGCGAGAUAGAGAGGAAGAGGAAUCAGGAGAGAGAGAUAGUUAGGAGGAGGAAUCAGGAGAGAGAUAGAGAGGAGGAGGAAUCACGAGAGAGAUAUAGUGGAGAAGGAUUCAGGAGAGAGAGAGGAGGAGGAAUCAGGAGAGAUAGAUAGAGAGGAGGAGGAAUCAGGAGAGAGAUAGAGAGGAGGAGGAAUCAGGAGAGAAAGAUAGAGAUGAGGAGGAAUCAGGAGCGAGAUAGAGAGGAGGAGGACUCAGAGAGAGAGAGAGAUAGAGAGGAGGAGGAAUCAGGAGAGAGAGAUAGAGAUGAGG
ensembl:lncRNA